UAAACAGGAACUUAGGUUAAUUUAAUAGAAAAAAUAAAAUAUGGAAUAACAUUGAUUUUGGCCAGUAUCAAUUACAACCAUUCUACUAUAUUUUACAAAAAAACAACUGAACAUUUUACACAUGUACAGUAUUUUUCAGUAAAAGUGAAUUUGGAUUUAACAAUGGAUCACUAAUGAAAAGACAAAAGAAAACAGAAAAUAGGACUUCUGGCUCUAGGUUAGAGUAUUUGUUAAGUCUCCAAACUUUGUACUAUCCAUUACAUAUAUAUCAUUUUUAUUUUUCCCUUCAUAGUAACUCUGUGCCUCAAAUAUUAUGGGCGGGUUCAGUUAAAUGGAUUCUUCUGCAGGCAGAUCUGGUUUCACCAUCUACUUGACCUUGCUUUAGGCUCUCACUUUUGUCCACUUAAGAGACUGCGACUUUAAAUGUUAAGACUCUACAUGCCAGACCCAGGACUAACUUGCUUUCUUCAGGUCAGAAGGGCCUGCAGUGUUACGAAGAGGAAAAAUUACUCAACAAAAUCAGUUGAUCCCCUAGUUAUAUAUGAAUCAUUAUAUGACUUAGUAUCACUGCAAUGCUAUUAAAAGGGUCAUUAGACUUU
rnacentral:lncRNA from 1 species